rnacentral:rRNA from 1 species
CCUACGGGGGGCUGCAGUGGGGAAUAUUGGACAAUGGGCGAAAGCCUGAUCCAGCCAUGCCGCGUGUGUGAAGAAGGCCUUCGGGUUGUAAAGCACUUUCAGUGGGGAAGAAAGCCUUGGGGCUAAUACCCUCGAGGAAGGACAUCACCCACAGAAGAAGCACCGGCUAACUCCGUGCCAGCAGCCGCGGUAAUACGGAGGGUGCGAGCGUUAAUCGGAAUUACUGGGCGUAAAGCGCGCGUAGGCGGUCUGAUAAGCCGGUUGUGAAAGCCCCGGGCUCAACCUGGGAACGGCAUCCGGAACUGUCAGGCUAGAGUGCAGGAGAGGAAGGUAGAAUUCCCGGUGUAGCGGUGAAAUGCGUAGAGAUCGGGAGGAAUACCAGUGGCGAAGGCGGCCUUCUGGACUGACACUGACGCUGAGGUGCGAAAGCCUGGGUAGCAAACAGGAUUAGAUACCCUAGUAGUC